GUGGACUUAAACCCCAAAUAUAAAGUUUACACUUUUUUUAGAA
rnacentral:tRNA from 1 species